UACCCGUAAUGCCAACAUGCAU
rnacentral:miRNA from 1 species